ensembl:rRNA LOC120096074 5S ribosomal RNA
GCUUACAGCCAUACCACCCGUAACGCGCCCGAUCUCGUCGGAUCUCGGAAGCUAAGCAGGGUCGGACCUGCUUAGUAGGUGGAUGGGAGACCGCCUGGGAUACCGGGUGCUGUAGACU